GAUCAUAGGUAGUGUCAAGGAUACGUGUCACCCUUGGUUCCUUUUAAAGGGGAGGUGGACAAUAAAAUACAGGUAGGUUUGGUAUUAAAAUAAUAGGUGCCAGAGGUUUCACAUCGGGUCCGCUGCAUCUGUUAUUAGACGAAGAUCAACAUUGGCUGAGUCCCAGUUAAUCUCCAGUCCAAAUUAUUAGGAAGAGGAAUAUUUACCCUUGAUUACCUCCGACAUUAUUUGGAUUGUAGGUAAAGCAGCCUUUAAAAAUAUAUACGUAGCAAACAUCUGGCGAUUACCCUUCACUAAUUCACUCGCCCCAGAAAGACCAAAGAAAGCUGUUCAAUACAGAAUUUACACAGUUUUGACGCCUGGGCAACAAACUUUAAAGUUUAUUAGGCAAGAAAUUUCAAAGGCUUAAAUCGCAGGCUCUAACAUAAAGCCCUAGAAAAUUUACUUUGGUUUGACAUUUCUUGCUUGAAAAAUAACCAGCAAAAUUUCUUUAGAUAAUGUGGCUCUUAAAGAUCUUCUUGGGCUUUGCAAGUUACAAAUGCAAGCGAGCCUCAGCCGCAGCUAGAACGUCCCUUUCACCGGGCACAGUAAACGGCUUUUAAUAAAGCAGCCGCGUUUAUGACCUAAAGAUCCUAUAAAAGCUGGGACUUGCAAGAGCUGCGAAGCAGAAACAUUCAUACAUAGUCUAUUAGACACUCAUUUUUGUAAGUAGGAGGAGGACAGUUUUCGUGUGUCCCUCAAAUUUAAUCAGAUCAAAGGUUGAAUCAUGCUGUGUCGUGACAACAGGGUAUUUAUGAGGUGUGUUACAAGUACACUGGCCAAACACUACCAAUGUCUUCUGCGGCACACAUACACACACACACACACACUCCUUUCUAGGGAAUUUACAAUUUCAGCCUCAAAUCACCAAACCGUAAAGAGGAUAUUAAGCCCUCCCUUUGAAUAAGAAUAGCGAUGUUAGUAUGUCCGAGUCUAUCCCGGCAGGAAACUUUUGGCACGAAUUUCAAACAGUGCCAAGGAGAAAAAAAAAUUAGGUCGGUCAGGUUAGGUGUCGGCGAUAAGAAAAGAGAUUGCGGGAGCAUCCCCAGCCUUCUUCUUUCCCCUUUUGCCGCCCCCACACACUCCCCCCACGCGUCUAUCACGGAAACAACACAGAGGAGCGCACACGCACCACUCACACCUCCAACUAUUGACUGUUGUAUCAGGUGUUCUAACCGGGAUGUGACAGUUUAGGCUGGGAGCAGAAAUAAUCAACAUGCCCAUUAGAUACAGGAUAGAAUAAUGCUUCUAUUGGUUGGGUCCCUUCGAGAGAGAACCAUUCUCUGCUUUCAAUAGGACAGAAGAGCUCCUUGGCACUGGAUGCCUCCGGGUCUGGUUGAGAGAGGAAUGGUUAGGAGACUGUUCUGAGGAUACGCAGACAUCAUCCAAAGCUUCCUACAUUCAGAUGAGGACAGAGGUUGGGCCAGAGCUUUGUAUGCUUGUUACCUAAGGAUGGUUCUGACCAUGUAAGCAGAUCACAGAAGCUGGAGGCAAAGGAUUCCAAGAUGGGAAAGCCACACAAUGGAAGGAUCCCAGAUUUCGGAGCUGUCACUUGGAGGAGGGGCACCCAGUGAAGGUGUCUAUCUAACCCACACCAUCUCUUCAUGACGUGGCCAUAUGGAUUUGAUCCCCAUCCUUCAGAGGUGCUCAGCCCAAGGGAACACGGGUAGCAGAUUAAGCACUGACUAGAGCCAGCCAAGAACAUAAGCAGAUGUGCUGAUGGCAACCUAGAACAUAAGCAGAGGAGAAUACAGGAUGGGAACUUGAUGGUCUCGGGAAAAUGGACAACAUGACUCAGGUGAAAAAGAUUGAUCAUCAGAUGUUUCUUAUGUAUCAACCUGACAUUUAAAUCUAUGAAGGAGAGAGAUAACAAAGGCAGGUGGAAUAGAUAGAGAAGAGGUUCAAGGUCUGAGCUCUACAUUACUCAAACUGUUAGAGAUUGGGAAGAAGAGGAAGACCUGGCAAAAGAAUGUCCUGGGAUGUAGAAAGAAAACCAGAAGCUUGUGGUCUCUGGAAACCAAAUGAAGAAAGGGACAGAAGGACAGACGAAGUGUAGUGUGUCAAAGGCUCCCGAGCAAUCAGAGGAGAGCACAAAGGGGCUCACAAGACUUUGGUAUCUGGAUCACCCAGUGACACUUCCUGAUCAUGAGAAACUGUCAGACCAACAGGGGCACUUCUGAAACCAGCAGUUCUUCAGUGCCCAAAUGCAACCUUGAUGGUUUGAUUUUGGAGGAUGGCAAUUCAUUAACAGCACUCCCCAUUGAUAAAUAUGAAAACCAGUAAAACCCCCCACCCAAGGCAACCUCUCCCAGCUCCUCGCUUUGAGUAAA